AGAGAGUCCAGAUGGAGACAUU
rnacentral:siRNA from 1 species